CCACUUACCUGGCAGGGGCGAUACCAUAAUCACACAGGUGGUUUGCCCUGGGGGAGGCUCAGCCAUUGCACACUGGCUGUGCUGACCCCUGCGAAUUCCCCCAAUGUGGGAAUCUCGACUUUAAAAUUUUCGUCUAGAGGAGGAAUGCGUUCGCACUCUUCCC
ensembl:snRNA U1 U1 spliceosomal RNA